UACAGAGGUCCCAAGCGUUGUUCGGAUUCAUUGGGCGUAAAGGGUGCGUAGGCGGCGCGGUAAGUCGGGUGUGAAAUCUCGGAGCUUAACUCCGAAACUGCAUUCGAUACUGCCGUGCUUGAGGACUGGAGAGGAGACUGGAAUUUACGGUGUAGCGGUGAAAUGCGUAGAUAUCUGGAGGAACACCGGUGGCGAAGGCGGCAUCCUGGACCGACAUUGACGCUGAGGAGCGAAAGCCAGGGGAGCAAACGGG
rnacentral:rRNA from 1 species